CCUACGGGUGGCAGCAGUGGGGAAUAUUGGGCAAUGGGCGCAAGCCUGACCCAGCAACGCCGCGUGAAGGAAGAAGGCUUUCGGGUUGUAAACCUCUUUUCUCAGGGACGUAGCAAGUGACGGGACCUGAGGAAUAAGCCACGGCUAACUACGGGCCAGCAGCCGCGGCAAUACGUAGGGGGCAAGCGUUAUCAGGAUUUACUGGGUGUAAAGGGAGUGUAGGCGGGAAAGCAAGUCAAGGGUGAAAUCCCCGCGCUCAACGUGGGAACUGCCUUUGAUACUGGCAAACUGGAGUGUGUGAGAGGAUAGUGGAAUUCGAGGUGUAGGGGUGAAAUGCGUAGAUAUCAGGAGGAACAUCAGUGGCGAAGGCGGCUAUCUGGCACAUAACUGACGCUGAGGAGCGAAAGCGUGGGUAGCAAACAGGAUUAGAUACCCGGGUAGUC
rnacentral:rRNA from 1 species